GAUGAAGAACGUAGCGAAAUGCGAUACGUAAUGUGAAUUGCAGAAUUCAGUGAAUCAUCGAGUCUUUGAACGCACAUUGCGCCCCCUGGUAUUCCGGGGGGCAUGCCUGUCCGAGCGUCAUUGCUGCCCUCAAGCACGGCUUGUGUGUUGGGCCUCCGUCCUCCUCCCGGGGGACGGGCCCGAAAGGCAGCGGCGGCACCGCGUCCGGUCCUCGAGCGUAUGGGGCUUCGUCACCCGCUCUUGUAGGCCCGGCCGGCGCUUGCCGACACAUCAAUCUUUUUUCCAGGUUGACCUCGGAUCAGGUAGGGAUACCCGCUGAACUUAAGCAUAUCAAUAAGCGAGA
rnacentral:misc_RNA from 1 species